rnacentral:rRNA from 1 species
CAAGGCCUGGCACUUCACGAUGAGCCCGCGGCCUAUCAGCUAGUUGGUGAGGUAACGGCUCACCAAGGCUAAGACGGGUAGCUGGUCUGAGAGGACGACCAGCCUCACUGGAACUGAGACACGGUCCAGACACCUACGGGUGGCAGCAGUCGAGAAUUUUUCUCAAUGGGCGAAAGCCUGAAGGAGCGACGCCGCGUGGGGGAUGAAUGGCUUCGGCCCGUAAACCCCUGUCAUUUGCGAACAAAUGGUUUUACCUAACACGUAAAGCCUUGAUAGUAGCGGAAGAGGAAGGGACGGCUAACUCUGUGCCAGCAGCCGCGGUAAUACAGAGGUCCCAAGCGUUGUUCGGAUUCACUGGGCGUAAAGGGUGCGUAAGCGGCCGGGUAAGUCUGAUGUGAAAUCCCGCAGCUCAACUGCGGAACGGCAUUGGAUACUAUUCGGCUCGAGGAGUGGAGGGGAGACUGGAAUACUUGGUGUAGCAGUGAAAUGCGUAGAUAUCAAGUGGAACACCAGUGGCGAAGGCGAGUCUCUGGACACUUCCUGACGCUGAGGCACGAAAGCCAGGGGAGCAAACGGGAUUAGAUACCCCGGUAGUCCUGGCCCUAAACGGUGCGCGUUUGCUGUGAGCGGAAUCGACCCCGCUCGUGGCGAAGCUAACGCGUUAAACGCGCCGCCUGGGAAGUACGGCCGCAAGGUUAA